UACGUAGGGGGCGAGCGUUAUCCGGAAUUACUGGGUGUAAAGGGAGAGUAGGCGGCAAGGUAAGCGAUAUGUGAAAGCCUUAGGCUUAACCUGAGGAUUGCAUAACGAACUAUCUAGCUAGAGUACAGGAGAGGAAAGCGGAAUUCCUAGUGUAGCGGUGAAAUGCGUAGAUAUUAGGAAGAACACCAGUGGCGAAGGCGGCUUUCUGGACUGAAACUGACGCUGAGGCUCGAAAGCGUGGGGAGCAAACAGG
rnacentral:rRNA from 1 species